CUGUAAUAAUACAUUGAGCUGUAAUAAUACAAUAAGCUGUAAUGAUACAUUGAGCUGUAAUGAUACAUUGUGCUGUAAUGAUACAAUAAGCUGCAAUGAUACAUUGUGCUGUAAUGAUACAAUAAGCUGUAAUGAUACAUUGAGCUGUAAUGAUACAUUGUGCUGUAAUAAUACAUUGAGCUGUAAUAAUACAUUGAGCUGUAACGAUACAUUGAGCGGUAAUGAUACAAUGAGCUGUAAUGAUACAAUGAGCUGUAGUAAUACAAUGAGCUGUAAUACAAUACAUUUUAAAUAAUAUAACAAGCUGGCAAGCUGGCAAUGGUACAUAGAGUUAGAGUGUCUCUUUAAUUUUGUUUUUCAGUCUCUGUUUGUGGAGGGAGGAUUGGAAAU